UACGGGGGGAGCAAGCGUUGUUCGGAUUUACUGGGCGUAAAGGGCGUGUAGGUGGUUUAGUAAGUCUGGCGUGAAAUUUUUCGGCUUAACCGGGAAAGGUCGUCGGAUACUGCAAGACUAGAGGACGGUAGAGGCGUGUGGAAUUCCGGGUGUAGUGGUGAAAUGCGUAGAGAUCCGGAGGAACACCAGUGGCGAAGGCGACACGCUGGGCCGUACCUGACACUGAUGCGCGACAGCAUGGGGAGCAAACAGG
rnacentral:rRNA from 1 species